GGUACAGCUAUGAAAGUUGUCACAGAAAAAAAUAUAGCUCCUUUCCUAGUGGAUAUUGAUCCUAUUAAAUUGACCAAGAUUCAAGAAUGUUGUACUAAUGCUGUACUGUUAAAUGCUAAAGGUGAACCCCGAGGUGGAGGAGCAGCAGCUGCACCCAAAAUGUCUGAACCAAAAGUUGUUAAACCCAAUAGUGCUAAAGUUACCAAGCCUCCAGAAUCUAAACCACCA